rnacentral:miRNA from 1 species
AUGCGGAUGUGGGACACACAAAAAUAUUAUAAAAGUGACAAGUAAGUCAUCUCGAGAUAUGACUUACUUGUCACUUUUAUAAUAUUUUUUGUGUGACACAUCCCCAUC